GACGAACGCUGGCGGCGUGCCUAAUACAUGCAAGUAGAACGCACAGUUUAUACCGUAGCUUGCUACACCAUAGACUGUGAGUUGCGAACGGGUGAGUAACGCGUAUGUAACCUGCCUGGUAGCGGGGGAUAACUAUUGGAAACGAUAUCUAAUACCGCAUAAUAUUAAUUAUUGCAUGAUACUUAAUUGAAAGGUGCAAUUGCACCACUACUAGAUGGACCUGCGGUGUAUUAGCUAGUAGGUGAGGUAACGGCUCACCUAGGCGACGAUACAUAGCCGACCUGAGAGGGUGAUCCGCCACACUGGGAAUGAGACAAGGCCCAGACUCCUACGGGAGGCAGCAGUAGGGAAUCUUCGGCAAUGGACGAAAGUCUGACCGAGCAACGCCGCGGGAGGGAAGAAGGUUGUCGGAUCGUAAAGCUCGGUUGUAAGAGAAGAAAGGGUGUGAGAGUGGAAAGUUCACACUGUGACGGUAGCUUAACAGAAAGGGACGGCUAACUACGUG
rnacentral:rRNA from 1 species